rnacentral:rRNA from 1 species
UACAGAGGGGCCGAGCGUUAUUCGGAAUUAUUGGGCGUAAAGGGCGCGUAGGCGGCCAUGCGUGUCUUCCGUGAAAUCCCUCGGCUUAACUGAGGACGUGCGGAAGAAACUGCAAGGCUCGAGUCCGGGAGAGGGGGGGUGGAAUUCCCAGUGUAGCGGUGAAAUGCGUAGAUAUUGGGAGGAACACCGGUGGCGAAGGCGGCCCCCUGGACCGGUACUGACGCUGAGGCGCGAAAAGCGGUGGGUAGCAAACGGG